UACGAAGGGGGCUAGCGUUGCUCGGAAUCACUGGGCGUAAAGGGUGCGUAGGCGGGUCUUUAAGUCAGGGGUGAAAUCCUGGAGCUCAACUCCAGAACUGCCUUUGAUACUGAAGAUCUUGAGUUCGGAGGAGGUGGAGUGGUGAACUGCGAGUGUAGAGGUGAAAUUCGUAGAUAUUCGCAAGAACACCAGUGGCGAAGGCGGCUCACUGGCCCGUUACUGACGCUGAGGCACGAAAGCGUGGGGAGCAAACAGG
rnacentral:rRNA from 1 species